GAUAUUUUAAUACUGGAUGUUAAUAUGAUUACAAUAAUGAAAAUAGAAUAUAAAUGUUUUUAGUAAAAAGAAAAUUAAAAAAAGGGAUGCAUCAGCAUUGAGUUUUCACUAAGUGAAAAUGCUCCAUUGGUUGUUUUCAUGGGUUUCUACAAAACUUAGGUUGUUAUAGCAAUGGUAGGAUUUGUGGUAUUCUUAUUGAGCUAAUGUAGCUUACCCUAGUCUUAUUAACCAUUACAGAUAAGGGGAAUCAAGAUCCAAAUCACGAACAAUGCGAGUUAACUAGGAUACCAUCCCUUCCAUUCCACUGGACUUGGAUUAGGUUCAACCAAUUAUUUUAUAAUAGCAUUCGUCUUAGGAUCUGAGAUGGUCUCAUAGGCCUUUUGGUUUUUGCAAGUUUAUGUGCAAGGAAUGUAACUUUUAAACUUUAAAUUCUUUUGUACAAUGAUAAAUUUAGUAUUGCUCUAUCUCUACAGUCAUGAUAAAUAUU
rnacentral:lncRNA from 1 species